GUGCUUGGAGGGCUCUGGGCUCACUGACAGAAUUCCCUGAGGUACUGGCAGGCCCAGGGAGGGCUCUGGGGUGCAAGGGAAGGCAGAAGGAGAACGCUGGGGUACAGUGAACAUCCUCAGAGGCCUCAAGCACCCCAAAAGCCACUUGGAAAGCUCUGGGGGUGCACACACUCACUCACACAGGAUGGGAGGUGUAGGAAAAACCAAAUGCCACUCAGUACCACUGCAGAAAGGGCACCUGGAGGGCUCUGUUGGGAGGACCCGGGGCUCAGGGAUGCAGCACAAGGCAGGCAGAGGCUCCUGGGGCACAGCCACAGCCUCUCCCAUGCCCGGGGGAUUCCUGGGAACACCAGGAACAGGGCUGUGGCCAUGGGGCUCUGGCUCUCUUGCAGAGAAACCCGGCUGUGUCCCAGGGGACGAGCAGCAGCCUCUGUCCCACUCUGCUGGCCAUCCCACGCUUUGGAAGCUUUCCCUCGGUGUCAGCAGAGCUGCAGGGCCCAGCUGGGGGGAUCCCUCUGAGUGUUUGGUGUCUGCAGCCUGCUCCAGCCAAAGCAGUGCGUGCUCUGUGCCAGCUGCCAGCAGCAUCUGAACCUCCCAAACUGCUGCAAACCCCCCCUCCAGCACUGAGAGGAGUGAGGCUGCCUCUCACCAGCCUUUUCCUCAGGUUUUUCCUUCUGGAUAACGUUGACAUCAUGUCUGGGGCAGGCAAGUGGCUGCAGCCCUGCACACACCUGGGAGCUGGAGCUGGUGCGUGGCCAGGCUGGGUUUGCCACUGAGCUUUUGGCUGAGGAUGAUCCCUCAGCCUCGGGGGAUGCAGGAAUUGCAGCCACCAGCCCAGGGAAGUGCAGCAGCUCCCAUGGACCCCUUGGGAAAGCCCACAGCCACCUGCUUCUCCAGCACCGCCCCUUUCCCUGUUCUCCCUCCCUGUCCAUGAGUGUAAAUACAACACAGUCUAGUUUGCUUGGAUGCUGUGGGUGCUCUGUUUCAGGCAGGGGUGUCUGUGGGGCUUGGCUUGGCUCUUUUGGGGUGGCUCUGGGGCUCUGUGCCUCAGUUUCCCUGUGGAUGAUCACUGACAGUACCUGGAGCUGGCUGGGGAUCAGACCUGCACCCCCAGAUCUCCAACCCACCAGGGGCUGGGCUGGAUGAUCCCCAGAGGUCACUGCAACCCUGACAAGUCUGGAUGAGCAGGAAGCCCUGGCUGGGUUUGAGGGGCUCUGAGGUUCUCCCCUUGUCUGCUGUCACCCCCUUGGGGCAGGAAAGGGAGUUUGGGACAGCAAAGCCUCCCCUUCCCCAUAUCCAUGUGGGGCAUUUGGGCUGUGUGUGGCACCAGGGGUGACUUCAGCAAGGCUUGGCUUGGUGACAUCUCUGUGGGGGGACACGGGAAUGUGGGAGGAUGGAUGGACAGGAGGGAGGGCCUGGAUGAAAGCAGAGCUCCGAGGGCCUGGUGGGCACAGCAGAGCCCCCCUGUCCCCAUUGCUGUCCCCAGGCAUCAGAACCUCCUCCAGCCCCUCUGCCCAAGGGACAGAUCAGAUCCUGAUCGGGUUUCACGGUGAUUCAGAGCAGGGGAGUGACCGAUCCACCUGCCGGCC
rnacentral:lncRNA from 1 species